GGGUACUUCGUCAAGUGGUAUGAUGCCUGAUCCGCAUUCAGGAGGUCCGGGGUUCGAUUCCCUGAGUAUCCA